CAAUAGCGUAUAUUUAAGUUGUUGCAGUUAAAAAGCUCGUAGUUGGAUUUCGGGUGUUGCGGGCCGGUCCGCCGUUUCGGUGAGCACUGGCUGGCUUCAUCUUUCUGUCGAGGACGUGCUUCUGUCCUUAACUGGUCGGGACACGGAGUCGGCGAUGUUACUUUGAAAAAAUUAGAGUGUUCAAAGCGGGCUUACGCUUGAAUAUAUUAGCAUGGAAUAACACUAUAGGACUCCUGUCCUAUUUUGUUGGUCUUCGGGACGGGAGUAAUGAUUAAGAGGAACAGUUGGGGGCAUUCGUAUUUCAUUGUCAGAGGUGAAAUUCUUGGAUUUAUGAAAGACGAACUUCUGCGAAAGCAUUUGCCAAGGAUGUUUUCAUUAA
rnacentral:rRNA from 1 species